GACGAACGCUGGCGGCGGGCUUAACACAUGCAAGUCGAACGGAAAGGCCCUGCUUUUGUGGGGUGCUCGAGUGGCGAACGGGUGAGUAACACGUGAGUAACCUGCCCUUGACUUUGGGAUAACUUCAGGAAACUGGGGCUAAUACCGGAUAGGAGCUCCUGCUGCAUGGUGGGGGUUGGAAAGUUUCGGCGGGUGGGGAUGGACGCGCGGCUUAUCAGCUUGUUGGUGGGGUAGUGGCUUACCAAGGCUUUGACGGGUAGCCGGCCUGAGAGGGGGACCGGCCACAUUGGGACUGAGAUACGGCCCAGAGUCCUACGGGAGGCAGCAGUGGGGAAUAUUGCACAAUGGGCGGAAGCCUGAUGCAGCAACGCCGCGUGCGGGAUGACGGCCUUCGGGUUGUAAACCGCUUUCGCCUGUGACGAAGCGUGAGUGACGGUAAUGGGUAAAGAAGCACCGGCUAACUACGUG
rnacentral:rRNA from 1 species